rnacentral:rRNA from 1 species
UACAGAGGUCUCAAGCGUUGUUCGGAUUCAUUGGGCGUAAAGGGUGCGUAGGCGGCGCGGUAAGUCGGGUGUGAAAUCUCGGAGCUUAACUCCGAAACUGCAUUCGAUACUGCCGUGCUUGAGGACUGGAGAGGAGACUGGAAUUUACGGUGUAGCGGUGAAAUGCGUAGAUAUCGUAAGGAAGACCAGUGGCGAAGGCGGGUCUCUGGACAGUUCCUGACGCUGAGACGCGAAGGCCAGGGGAGCAAACGGG